rnacentral:tRNA from 1 species
GAAAAUCUAGUUUAUUAAAACAUUAAUUUGUCAAAUUAAAAUUACUUAUUAAGUGAUAUUCA